rnacentral:rRNA from 1 species
UACGGAGGGUGCAAGCGUUAAUCGGAAUUACUGGGCGUAAAGCGUGCGUAGGUGGUUCGUUAAGUCCGUUGUGAAAGCCCCGAGCUCAACUUGGGAAUUGCAGUGGAUACUGGCGAGCUGGAGUGCGGUAGAGGAAGGUGGAACUCCCGGUGUAGCGGUGGAAUGCGUAGAGAUCGGGAAGAACACCCGUGGCGAAGGCGGUGUG